rfam:Brassica rapa chromosome A9, whole genome shotgun sequence.
GACUCCAUGGCCCAAUGGAUAAGGCGCUGGUCUACGAAACCAGAGACUCUGGGUUCGAUCCCCAGUGGAGUCG